GAUGAACGCUGGCGGCGUGCUUAACACAUGCAAGUCGAACGGAAAGGCCCAAGCUUGCUUGGGUGCUCGAGUGGCGAACGGGUGAGUAACACGUGGGUGAUCUGCCCUGCACUUUGGGAUAAGCCUGGGAAACUGGGUCUAAUACCGGAUAGGACCAUCGUUUAGUGUCGGUGGUGGAAAGUUUUUCGGUGUGGGAUGAGCUCGCGGCCUAUCAGCUUGUUGGUGGGGUAAUGGCCUACCAAGGCGUCGACGGGUAGCCGGCCUGAGAGGGUGUACGGCCACAUUGGGACUGAGAUACGGCCCAGACUCCUACGGGAGGCAGCAGGGGGGAAUAUUGCACAAUGGGCGCAAGCCUGAUGCAGCGACGCCGCGUGGGGGAUGACGGCCUUCGGGUUGUAAACUCCUUUCGCCAAGGACGAAGCGUUUUGUGACGGUACUUGGAGAAGAAGCACCGGCUAACUACGUG
rnacentral:rRNA from 1 species